GAUGAACGCUGGCGGCGUGCUUAACACAUGCAAGUCGAACGGGAAUUACUUUAUUGAAACUUCGGUCGAUUUAAUUUAAUUCUAGUGGCGGACGGGUGAGUAACGCGUGGGUAACCUGCCUUAUACAGGGGGAUAACAGUCAGAAAUGGCUGCUAAUACCGCAUAAGCGCACAGAGCUGCAUGGCUCGGUGUGAAAAACUCCGGUGGUAUAAGAUGGACCCGCGUUGGAUUAGCUUGUUGGUGGGGUAACGGCCCACCAAGGCGACGAUCCAUAGCCGGCCUGAGAGGGUGAACGGCCACAUUGGGACUGAGACACGGCCCAGACUCCUACGGGAGGCAGCAGUGGGGAAUAUUGCACAAUGGGGGAAACACUGAUGCAGCGACGCCGCGUGAAGGAAGAAGUAUCUCGGUAUGUAAACUUCUAUCAGCAGGGAAGAUAGUGACGGUACCUGACUAAGAAGCCCCGGCUAACUACGUG
rnacentral:rRNA from 1 species